AUUGAACGCUGGCGGCAGGCCUAACACAUGCAAGUCGAGCGAGCGGCGGACGGGUGAGUAAUGUCUGUGAAACUGCCUGAUGGAGGGGGAUAACUCCUGGAAAAGGUAGCUCAUACCGCAUACCCUCAGAUGUGCCCAGAUGGGAUUAGCUAGUGGGGGGGGUAACGGCUCACCUAGACGACGAUCCCUAGCUGGUGUGAGAGGAUGACCAGCCACACUGGAACUGAGACACGGUCCAGACUCCUACGGGAGGCAGCAGUGGGGAAUAUUGCACAAUGGGCGCAAGCUUGAUGCAGCCAUGCCGCGUGUGUGAAGAAGGCCUUCGGGUUGUAAAGUACUUUCAGCGGGGAGGCGUUACCCGCAGAAGAAGCACCGGCUAACUCCGUGCCAGCAGCCGCGGUAAUUC
rnacentral:rRNA from 1 species